rnacentral:rRNA from 1 species
GGCUUGUAGAUUAUAAUUUCAGGUCUGACCUGCCCAAUGAAAAUUUAAUGGCUGCGGUAUAUUGACCGUACAAAGGUAGCAUAAUCAUUAGUUUUUUAAUUGAAAGCUUGCAUGAAAGGUUUGAUGAAAAAAAAUCUGUCUCUGUAAAAAUUAAUUAGAAUUUUAUUUUUAAGUUAAAAAGCUUAAAUUUAAAUAGAAGACGAGAAGACCCUAUAGAGUUUUAUAUUUAAAUGAAUAAUAAAAUUUUUAGAUUAAGGAAGUUUAUAAUUCAUUUCAAUAUUAGGUUGGGGUGACAAUGAAAUUUAAUGAACUUUUUUAAAAAAAAACUUUAAUUUUAGAGUGAAUGAUCCUUAGGUUAGAUUAAAAGAUUAAAUUACCUUAGGGAUAACAGCGUAAUUUUUUUUAGAGUUCUUAUCGAAUAAAAAGAUUGCGACCUCGAUGUUGGAUUAAAAUUAAUUUGUGGUGAAGAAGCUACAUUAUUAGGUCUGUUCGACCUUUAAAAUU